UUUCCUCCAUUAAUGCCAUCGCCUACACCUCCUAUUUUACAAUCUCUUUCUUUUUCUUUUUGCAUCAAGAUUGUGCACCAUCUUCUUUAUUAUAUUGCUUCCAUUUAUAUUCAUCUAAAUUAGCCCUAAAUCUAAAAUCUUGAAUCCCAAGAUCGAUCCCGAACAUUGCCAAGAAAGUUUUAUUGUUGUUUCUUUCAACUAGCUUGGGUAAGAUCUCUUUUCUCUUCAAUUUCUUCAUUGAUCUUGUCAAUUAAAAACCAAAAUUUCCAAAUAUGGAAUUUUUGGGAUUUUAAAUGAUUUCAAAGUUAUUUUUCCAGGUUUUAAUGAGAUCUCAAACUAUUUUAAAAUUCAACCCCAAUUUUGGCCACUGCGGGUGGUGAUGCGUGCACCUAUGUGCAAGAAAGGGGGUUAUUUUGCUUCUUGGG
rnacentral:lncRNA from 1 species